AAUCCAUGACCGAAGAAUCGUCACUUAUCGAAGCUUACACAAAGAGUCUAUUAGAUUCAAAUUAUGCUUUGGGCUGAAAGUCUCCCACCUGUUCAUAUGCGGAAAACGUAAUGAGAUUUAAAAAUUUUUAAAUUCUUUAAAUCAACUCAUUAGGUUGGUCCUUUUUGGAUCAAUCUGCUGACCUAGGAUUCACUUUGUUGAUUUCCUAGUGUUUUCUUCGGUAUAGAAAUGUUUUUACAUUUCAAACCAUAGUUAUGACGAUUGCUUUUAUCCUUUUCUUUUGAUUGGAUGAAGUAACCCAAUGGAGCUUACUAUUGGUCCAUGGAUUCACC
rnacentral:RNase_MRP_RNA from 1 species